GGAUUUUCAGCUUCUCCGGGGGAGGACAACAAAAUGAAAAAACCCCACUUGAUGGCCACCUGCAUUUCCCGUGUGGAAAAAUGAGACUGCCUUUGUUAGGGUAAGAUGCCCUUCCCACUUGCCCCUGUACAUCUGGCCUAAGUCACUUCUUUUUAAUCCUUAGGGACAUUUGAGUUUUCAACACCUGCUCAGACCUUUCCCUGCAUUCAAACUUCCUUCUUUGGCAUCCCAGUGCCUCAGGCCCUGUUAGGUGACCGACUAAUCCCUGGGUUUUCAACCCUGGCUGCACAUCGGGAUCUCCUGGGCCAAUGAACAAAAUUCCCACGCAAGGCUGCACCCCUGACCAGUUGAAUCAGAAUCUCAGGGGAAAAGGGGGUGGGGGGGCAGGCCUAGUGUACUAAAAAACGAAACAAAAUCUCAGUUCCCUCGGUGAUUCCAAACUGUAUCCAGGAAGGCAAACCACUGUGAUAAUCUGCUAAUCCAAUUCAAGAGGAAGUUUUAGCAUCUAAACACGGUUUAACGGCCUCCCACAUAACUUUAGUCUUUCAAGCUUUUCCGGAAGGAGUAAUUGAUGUGGAAAUUGAAGGCAGAACUAGGAGGAUGGUUUUGGUUAGGUGAACCUUUUACUUGAUUUUCAAAUUAGAGUUGGUGGCUGUUUGGACCUAAAUGUAACUAUCAUUUCUAUAAUUAGUCUAUUAAAACAUUUUGUAAUCAUUUUAUCAAGCACAGACAGGUCAUGGUGGCUUUAUAGCUUUACAUGGUGCCAUUUUAUUAUUACUAUUAGUAAUUCUUUUUUUGAGGAAGACUGGCCCUGAGCUAACAUGCAUGCCCAUCUUCCUCUACUUUAUAUGUGGGACACCUGCCACAGCAUGGCUUACCAAGCGGUGUGUAGGUCUGCACCCUCCAUCCAAACCGGUGAACCCCCCGAAUCAAGCGGAAGGUGCAAACUUAACCGCUGUGCCACUGGUCGAUCCCCUUUUAAAAAUUAUUUUGAACCAGCAAGUUUUUUAAUCAAUGAAUUUGAGUUGCUAUUGAGACCUUCCGUGGGUUCUGGAAAUGCCGCUGGGUUUGACAAGCACAAGAAGUUAUGGUGGCUUUUUGAAAGGUCAUGAGUGGCCAAUACAGCAAGACAGGAACAUGUGCUGGCAGCCACUCGAUAAAUACUUGGUGAAUAAAUUGACAAGGCAUUUUUUCCUCCUCAUCUUCACUUGAGAUGGAGAAUUUGGUGACAUCUUGCAGUAGGGGGAGGGUGUAUGUACGCCCUCGUCAGAUGUCCUCCGACGGAGUGUUUUGUUAAGCCAUCCCUAGACGAUCCACAGAAGGCUCUAGGUAGAGAAAACACUGGGUUAGGCAAGAGCAGCCCCCACGCACCUCGUGUAUGUCCUUCCAAGGCUCCCUUAAACUUCAGUUUGGCAUAGCAGGGACCCCAGGCUCCCCCUAACCGAAGCCUAGAAGAAGGUGCUGUGUGUUCAGUCUGACCUCCCCACGACCCGAAUAGGCAAACAGACGGCACCCCUUGGAAAGGACCAGUGCAGCCUGGCUAGAAGGCUGGGCGGUGGGCUAGCAUUAAGGGGCACAACGGGGACAAUCCUGGGGGCUGCACCCAAAGCAUCCCCUGCACCUGCAAAUCCCCCACCUCAGUUUGGCCCCCCUGCACCCCGGCGGUCCAGCCCACCAGGGAGAGGCUGCCCGCGGGGCCGCAGUGGGGAGGAGGGUCGGCGGCCGGAGGAGGGAGGCGGCGAGCGAGGCUGGGGCGGGGGGCGCGGCGGGCGCGGUGCGGUCCAGGGGGAGGCGGGCGGAGGGAAGCGCCGCUGCCGCCACUGCCGCCGCUGCCGCCACUGCCGCCGCCUCACCCGCGGCGACACAGACGCCGGGAGCGGCCGAGGCGAGUGACUUCUUCUGACUUGAGCUGGCAGUGUGCUUUGAGAGAUCUACCACAGGAAAUACCUGCCUGCAGUGACAGGAACAGCAAGAUGGAAUAGCUUCAUUCUGAGGUCUAGGGUAAGGGAAAGAGGAAGAUGGCUCUCCCUGCCGUAAUUGCCUUCGUGAGACGGAGAAGAGAAAGGGAGACAAGUGAAAAGAAGACGAGAAAGAGACUGCAUAACAGGCCCUCUGGUGGCUUUCAGCUUCUCAGAAAAGGAGUGUGAACGGAAAGAUCCGAAAGAACUCCAGAUGUCCAUGGGGCCAAGGAGUGCAUCAUCAUAAUUCCAGACAGGUCUUAAUGAUUCCCCAGCCAUCUCGGGAACAGUCCCCUUGACUUUCAGCUUGGAUAUAUUUAACUUUGUACAUCCUAAUGAUUGCUAUGUAUAUGUGUGUGUCACACACACAAUAUCUUAUUCUGUAUUAUGACAUAUUGUGACAGUUGUGUUAAAUUUGUUGCUUUAUAUAUUUUUCUCCACUCCUGCCUCUUCUACUCCACCCUUUCUACUCCGUGGGUGGUCCGGGGACCAGCAGCAUCAGCCUCACCUGAGAGCUUGUUAGAAAUGCAGCAUCGCAGGUCCCACUCUCAGACCUGAUGAGUCAGAAUCUGCAUUUUAACAGGAUUCCCAGGGAUUCUCCUGCAUUUGAAUCUUUGAGAAUUGAUGUUUUACAUAAUGACUGUUUCAUUUUAUUUUUUUUUAGCCAACUGUGCUUUUAAUAAUGAGAUUAAAAUCCUUCAAAGUCAAAAUAUUGUGAAGGUAACCCUACUUUAAGAUUAGACCAGAUAUAGUGCACACAAUUAAGGCAUUUAAACGCAUUUUCUAGUUAAAUUAUUGAAUUUAUCAUUGAUAAGCGUAUUUAAAGCUUCUUAUUUUCAAAUUCUUUGAGUUUUGCGUUCUUAGCUCUCACAAACCUUGGCUCAUUCUUGUAGCACGGACUUUUCCAUUGCUUCAUCUUAUAAAGAGAUUUCUCAGACGUGUGAAGCCUUCCUCCUGUGGGCAAUUGUGUCUUCUUCUCCAUUUUGGUUUUAGCUCAAGCAACCGGUACCUGCAUGAAGCUUCUGUUGAUGCUUCAAAACCUGGCCUGAAAGGUUCUAGCAAGGACCCAUCCCUCUGUCAAGGUUCUCGCCAAAAGACCCUCAGCUUUUGAAUUUUCCCAACAUUGAGUAUCUUGUAAUGCAAUGAUAUGGGACUCUGCUGUCAGAAUUCUAGUUUUCUCUAUUUUUUUCUCAAUUUCCAAUAAAGGUUAAUUUACAUUUAUCCCAAUUCUUAAGUUGUCC
rnacentral:lncRNA from 1 species